rnacentral:rRNA from 1 species
GACAGAGGGUGCAAACGUUGCUCGGAAUCACUGGGCGUAAAGGGCGUGUAGGCGGGAAGGAAAGUCAGAUGUGAAAUCCCCAGGCUCAACCUGGGAACUGCAUUUGAAACUCCCUUUCUUGAGUACCGGAGAGGAAAGUGGAAUUCCUGGUGUAGAGGUGAAAUUCGUAGAUAUCAGGAGGAACACCAGUGGCGAAGGCGGCUUUCUGGACGGUAACUGACGCUGAGAACGCGAAAGCG